CGUGCCGCCUGGGAAGUACGGUCGCAAGAUUAAAACUCAAAGUAAUUGACGGGGGCCCGCACAAGCGGUGGAGUAUGUGGCUUAAUUCGAUGCAACGCGAAGAACCUUACCUGGCCUUGACAUGCAUCUCUAAACCGGUGAAAGCCGGGGAGUGUAGCAAUACACAAUUUGCACAGGUGCUGCAUGGCUGUCGUCAGCUCGUGUCGUGAGAUGUUGGGUUGAGUCCCGCAACGAGCGCAACCCCUGUGAUCUGUUGCCACCGGCGCAAGCCGAGCACUCUGAUCAGACUGCCCUGUGAAACGGGGAGGAAGGUGGGGACGACGUCAAGUCAGUAUGGCCCUUACGGCCAGGGCUGCACACGUACUACAAUGCCCAGGACAGAAAGAACCGAAACCGCGAGGUGGAGGAAAUCAUUAAACCUGGGCCCAGUUCGGAUUGAAGGCUGCAACUCGCCUUCAUGAAGUUGGAAUCGCUAGUAAUGCCGUAUCAGCUACGACGGCGUGAAUACGUUCCCGGGCAUUGUACACACCGCCCGUCACAUCAUGGAAGUCGUUUGUAC
rnacentral:rRNA from 1 species